UCACUACAAAACCGGGUCAUGUUGAAUCGAGCAGUCAGUUAGGAAGAGGAUUUCGUAUAAUUUCCACUUUUUAAGUAUAAUUUUACUCUGGAGUUUUGUGAAAAAAAUUUAGCUGCAAAGAUGAAAUUGUUACAACCCGUGGUGAUUUUUCUUUUGGUCCUUCUGGGGAACGUCCUUGGACGGGGAAUAAUCGGCGAUGGGGACACGCCGCUUACUGCUAGGGUCGAUGACCUCGAGAUGAUUCCAAGCCAACCUGCGGAACAAAGAUGGUUUGGCAGGUGGUGUACUUGCGUCCAUGGAAGAUGCCAGACAGGGACCUUUUUCCCCUGGACGAAUAAUGGUGAUGUCGAUGGAUGUUAAAACUAUCUUGAUUUUAAUAAAUUUCACAAGAAAUUUGUAUCCGAUUUAAUUUUAUGUAAUUUGUCAUGCUUGAAAGUGAAUAAAUAAAUAACUUCCUGCCUAAAUUA